rnacentral:pre_miRNA from 1 species
AAAAAGACAAACCCUGGGUUUUCGUAUCCAACGUUUGACUGUCGUCUUAUAUGAAAUUUUUUUAUAAUUAGUAUUUUCAUUGUUGUUAGAUGAUAAAACAUGAUUAAUACUUUAUGUGUGACUUGUCUUUUUUUUCAUAUUUUUUUUAAAUAAGACGGACGGUCAAACGUUGGACAUGAAAACUCAGGGUUUGUCUUUUU